rnacentral:rRNA from 1 species
CCUACGGGUGGCAGCAGUAGGGAAUCUUCCACAAUGGACGAAAGUCUGAUGGAGCAACGCCGCGUGAGUGAAGAAGUAUUUCGGUACGUAAAGCUCUAUCAGCAGGGAAGAAAAUGACGGUACCUGACUAAGAAGCCCCGGCUAACUACGUGCCAGCAGCCGCGGUAAUACGUAGGGGGCAAGCGUUAUCCGGAUUUACUGGGUGUAAAGGGAGCGUAGACGGCAGCGCAAGUCUGAAGUGAAAUCCCAUGGCUUAACCAUGGAACUGCUUUGGAAACUGUGCAGCUGGAGUGCAGGAGAGGUAAGCGGAAUUCCUAGUGUAGCGGUGAAAUGCGUAGAUAUUAGGAGGAACACCAGUGGCGAAGGCGGCUUACUGGACUGUAACUGACGUUGAGGCUCGAAAGCGUGGGGAGCAAACAGGAUUAGAUACCCUAGUAGUC